CUAGAUCAUGGCAGGAGGCCAAGUCUAACUUAGUAACGGUUUGGUUAGCCUUAGCUUUUAUUGCAUGCUUGGGCUAGAUUGAUUGUUAUUUUGGGUUGUCUGGGUUAGAAUCUAGGUUGCGGGUAGAGGCCGCCAGCUCACUGAGUAAUACUAGAUUACUCAUCCAACUCCGUUGUCCUUUCUGCAGGUCGCUUUAGGUAAGGAUGAUCGGAUAGCUUGG
rnacentral:lncRNA from 1 species